UUAUUUUGAGUCAUCUUCCCAUUAAACAUAUCAUAAAUAAAAAAUAUUAUAAUUGAUAUAAAAAUUUGUUUAAGUGAUCAUCCUGCCAAACACAACACAAAUAAAAAAAUUAGUUCGAACCCCCCUCCCGUCAAAGACAAUAUUAAUCCAUAAUUAUUAUUUUUAUGAUAAAUUAAAUAUUAUAAUUUAGAUCAAAAUUAGUUUGAGCCGCUCUCUUGUCA
rnacentral:lncRNA from 1 species